rnacentral:rRNA from 1 species
AGCGAACGCUGGCGGCGUGCUUAACACAUGCAAGUCGAGUGCGCGGUUCGUAGCAAUACGAACUGGCGCACGGCGCACGGGUGAGGAACACGUGGGCAACAUGCCCUCCGAUGGGGAAUAACCCGCCGAAAGGCGGGCUAAUACCGCAUACGAUUCCGGGGACCUCGGUUCCUGGACUGAAAGCCCGCAAGGGCGUCGGUGGAGUGGCCCGCGGCCGAUUAGCUUGUUGGCGGGGUAACGGCCC